UACGGAGGGUGCAAGCGUUAAUCGGAAUUACUGGGCGUAAAGGGUGCGUAGGUGGUUUAAUAAGUUAUGUGUAAAAGCCCUGGGCUCAACCUGGGAAGGACAGAUAAGACUGUUAGGCUAGAGUAUAGGAGAGGGUAGUGGAAUUUCCGGUGUAGCGGUGAAAUGCGUAGAGAUCGGAAGGAACACCAGUGGCGAGGCGGCUACCUGGCCGGAUACUGACACUGAAGCACGAAAGCGUGGGGAGCAAACAGG
rnacentral:rRNA from 1 species